rnacentral:rRNA from 1 species
UACGUAGGGGCCGAGCGUUGUCCGGAGUUAUUGGGCGUAAAGCGCGCGCAGGCGGCUUCGCGCGCCCGACGUGAAAGCCCCCGGCUUAACCGGGGAGAGUCGUUGGGGACGGCGGGGCUUGAGGGCGGGAGAGGUCGGUGGAAUUCCCGGUGUAGUGGUGAAAUGCGUAGAGAUCGGGAGGAACACCUGUGGCGAAGGCGGCCGACUGGGCCGACCCUGACGCUGAGGCGCGAAAGCCAGGGGAGCGAACGGG